rnacentral:lncRNA from 10 species
AAACAAAGUAAGUUUUGUUUUCUCUCCUAAAAUUACCCAUCAGAAAAGAGAGUGCUGCCUUAUAUUGAAAUCACUAACACAAGAUGAUUUCUCAGUUACUUUAUUUGGACUUACUUGGAGAAGAUAUACUGGCCUGAAAUAACCAUUGUAUUUCGGAUGUAAAUUCAGGCUACCAGGUAGAAUUAAAAUUUGGUCAAAUAAGAUGAGGCCUGAGAAUUGAUCCUUAAAUUUUUAGCAUUGUCUAGGUCAUUGGUGAUCUUGAAAGAGCAAUUUACAUGGAGUAAUUAGGAAGAAAGACUUCUGGGAAUAGGUUCAGUAAAGAACAGGAGGAAAGGAAGAGAAGGGAGACACGUAGAAAACUCAUGAAGAAUUUUGCUACAACACUGUGCCAAGAAAUGGGUAACAGCAGAGGAGUAUAAGGUCCAGGUACAGGUUCAUUUAUUUGGUUUUGGGGGGUUUUUUUGGUUUUUGUUUUUUGAGACGGAGUCUCUUUUGUCGCCCAGGCUGGAGUGCAGUGGCACAAUAUCAGCUCACUGCAACCUCCGCCUCCUGGGUUCAAGCGAUUCUCCUGCCUCAGCCUCCUGAGUAGUUAGGAUUAUAGGUGGCUGCCACCAUGCCUAGCUAAUUUUUGUAUUUUUGGUAGAGAUGGGUUUCGCCAUGUUGGCCAGGCUGGUCUCGAACUCCUGACCUCAGGUGAUCCACCCUCGGCCUCCCAAAGUGCUGGGAUUAUAGGAGUGAGCCACCAUACCCAGCCAUUAAUUAUAUUUUCAUAAAAUAUAACAUCUCAACUCAUUCUAUUGGAAUUACAGAUUUAGCUCAUUCAAUUUAUAGGAAAUGUGUGCCAUAAAAUCCAAUUGGCAAAGCCAUUUCUCACUGUCAUAAACAGUCAAGUCAAAUUGACUUUUUGUCAGAAAAAGUUAGACUUUAUAUUUUGCUUGGUUUUCCAGAGACUUUUAUACCC